rnacentral:siRNA from 1 species
CUAUGAAUGGUGUACAUUGUUG